rnacentral:lncRNA from 1 species
CGGCUGUCUUUCGCAGGCUCUCGUUUUAUAUUUAACUUUGAAAAUAGAGCCACAAUCCUUUCAGACAAUCAGCCUGCUCACUCGCGCUGGUGGAUUUAAUUCGUCGCGAAAGGAAAAGCGGGCGGCAGGUAAAUGUUAAUGUCACGGUUGGGCCGGGAGUUGUAGCAAUUUCAAGCCACGCCUUGAUCUGUCACGCUCUUAGUUAGGCGUCGUCUUACAUUACAUUGCAUUACUUUUCUAGCUAUCAUCUACUCCUAAAUAACUGCUUUUAGUGAACGCUUAUCACGUGCCAAUCACUAGAAUACAAGACAGUAGUUUAGUCUCCACGUUAUCUUGCCAGGUAGGCAUCAUUAUCCUCGUUUUAGAAACGAGAAGGCCGAGGCUCCAGCGGGCCUGUGACAUGCCUGCCCAGGGCUGCACGAGCCAGUCAGUGCCAGAGUCCGGCUUUGGACCCAAGACAGUAUGAUUCAGUCCCAGACUCCUUCCAGGCACGACGGCGAUCCCCUUCUCAGCCUACGUGACUUGAAGUUCUGGAAUUCUUUGGGCUCGUGCUCUCGCCACGGGAACACGUCUUAAUUUGGGGACAAUUAUUCAGAAGCUGGGACAAAUACUAGAUAGAUGGAUGAUAGAUACGUACAUACAUACAUACAUAGGGUAUAUAUAUAUAUAUAUAUAUAUAUAUACUGAGAGAUAUAUAAAUCUGAACAGUGAACCCCUAAAACUGUAGUUAGAAAUUUGUAUUAUAUGUCUCACUAGAUAGAUAGAUAGAUAGAUGAUAGAUAGAUACAUACAUACAUACAUAGGGGGCUAUAUAUAUAUAUAUACUGAGAGAUAUAUAAAUCUGAACAGUGAACCCCUAAAACUGUAGUUAGAAAUUUGUAUUAUAUGUCUCACUAGAUAGAUAGAUAGAUAGAUGAUAGAUAGAUACAUACAUACAUAGGGGGCUAUAGGGGGCUAUAUAUAUAUACUGAGAGAUAUAUAAAUCUGGACAGUGAGCCCCUAAAACUGUAGUUAGAAAUUUGUAUUAUAUGUCUCACUAGAUAGAUAGAUGAUAGGUAGAUACAUAUAUACAUACACACAUACAUACAUAGGAUGUGUAUAUAUAUAUAUAUGUAUAUAUGUGUAUAUAUAUAUAUAUAUAUAUAUAUAUAUAUACUGAGAGAUAUAAAUUUGGGGUAGAACUGUUUAGAUCUUCAUUUUUAUUUAUUUUUUUAAGUUUCCUUAUUUAUUUUGAGAGAGAGUUUCUCUCUCAGGGGAGAUCAGGGGAGGGACAGAGAGCGAAGGAGAGAGAGAAUCCCAAGCAGGCUCUGCACCAUCAGCACGGAGCCGGGUGUGGGGCUCGAACCCAUGAUCGGUGAGACCACGAGCCGCGCCGAAAUCAAGAGUCAGAUGCCUAACCCACUGGGCCACCCAGGUGCCCCCAGAUCUUGAUUUUUAAAAUCUGGAAUAUUUUUUUUUUUUAAUUUUUUUUUUCAACGUUUAUUUAUUUUUGGGUCAGAGAGAGACAGAGCAUGAAUGGGGGAGGGGCAGAGAGAGAGGGAGACACAGAAUCGGAAACAGGCUCCAGGCUCUGAGCCAUCAGCCCAGAGCCUGACGCGGGGCUCGAACUCCCGGACCGCGAGAUCGUGACCUGGCUGAAGUCGGACACUUAACCGACUGCGCCACCCAGGCGCCCCUGGAAUAUUUAUUUUUAUGUUCAGUUAAGGAACUCAGUGUGAGCUCUUUUAGGCAGCCUCGCCUAAAACAACCUGUCACAGCAAAUCCAGAAAGUUAUUAGUGCUUUGAAAUAUGACAUUCGUACUCAUCUGCACUUCACAUCGUCUCAAACCAUAUUUUUAACAUUUUGGGAAAAUACGCAACGCGAUGUAUCUUUCAAAGAGUUAAGGAACUGGGGCAAAGGGCAAAUGAGGGGAGAGAAAAAUAAAACGACACCAGGGGAGAGAGGUUAGUACACACUUCAUGCCGUGCUGUGCGUGAGUCACUCAUGGCAUCUCGAUUUAAAAAUAAAACAGCACACAACCUGCUUUCCCCAAAAUGUGGCUUCUUGCUCGGGAAUCUCCAUCUAUUUUUUUCAGCGUUGGAACUUCUUAUCCUUUUUUGUACUUGGUUCUUUCUACCCUGCCUUGGGAAAUAUCCCGCUUGAUUUUUGUCCAUUUUCUUUUCUUUUUUUUUUUUCCUCUAAUAGGCAACCAUGCACAGCAGCCUGAGACAAUGAAGACUCACUGGCGCUUUUUUAAGCAAGUGAUGACGAGGAGCAUUUGAGGAUGCGUUCGUCAGGUUCGUUGGAACUUCUUAUGCGGGCAAGCUCAUGUUUCCAAUUCGGGACUCAGAGCAAGCGAUCAGCUGUAUAGACGCUUGACGUUAGCGCUGAGAGCCGCGGUAUCUUUAGCAGCUCACAAUGUAGGGUGACGCCAAUUGGAUGAGUCGUCCCCAUGGAAAACAGCCCACUUGGCGUAUGUUCCCGAAGCUACGAUCUGGCAGCGGUACCGAGACCUCUCUUCUAGAAAUUGCUGUUACCGCCACACACGGGAGACAGAUCCAAAAGGGGAAAUUUAGUUUCUCCACCGGCUCGUCCUUUGCCGUGAAGCUUGUGUAGGGCACCCUCCAUAAAAUCCCUUUUGCAAAGUGAAAACAUCGAUAGCAUUCUUCACGUCACUAUUUUCCGUGGAUGAGUUGAACGUGGUAACGUGGAAUGUAAAUACCUCUACAUGUAACUACAAAAUGUUUUAAAUAAAAUGGGAAGCGUGCAUUAUUUUCAUUUUGUGCCACUGUAAAUAUGGAAAGAAGUAAUCGGAUAUACUAGGCAGAAUUGGGGUGGGUAGAUGGGGCCUAAAUUUCUAAAAUCAAUGUUUG